rnacentral:rRNA from 1 species
GAUGAACGCUAGCAACAGGCUUAACACAUGCAAGUCGAGGGACCGGCGCACGGGAGAGUAACACGUAUCCAACCUGCCCUUUACUCGGGGAUAGCCUUACGAAAGAAAGAUUAAUACCCGAUAUAAAGGAUGGGGAUGCGUUCCAUUAGGUUGUUGGUGAGGUAACGGCUCACCCAGCCUGCGAUGGAUAGGGGUUAUGAGAGCAAGGUCCCCCACAUGUGAACUGAGACACGGUCCAAACGCCUACGGGAGGCAGCAGUGAGGAAUAUUGUUCAAUGGGCGCUAGCCUGAACCGGCCAAGUAGCGUGAAGGAUGAAGGCUUAUGGGUCGUAAUCUUCUUUUAUAUAAGAAUAUGUAUUAUAUGAAUAAGGAUCGGCUAACUCCGUGCCAGCAGCCGCGGUAAUAC